CCUACGGGAGGCAGCAGUGAGGAAUAUUGGUCAAUGGACGAGAGUCUGAACCAGCCAAGUAGCGUGAAGGAUGACUGCCCUAUGGGUUGUAAACUUCUUUUAUAUGGGAAUAAAAUGUUCCACGUGUGGGAUUUUGUAUGUACCAUAUUAAUAAGGAUCGGCUAACUCCGUGCCAGCAGCCGCGGUAAUACGGAGGAUCCGAGCGUUAUCCGGAUUUAUUGGGUUUAAAGGGAGCGUAGGUGGAUUGUUAAGUCAGUUGUGAAAGUUUGCGGCUCAACCGUAAAAUUGCAGUUGAAACUGGCAGUCGUGAGUACAGUAGAGGUGGGCGGAAUUCGUGGUGUAGCGGUGAAAUGCUUAGAUAUCACGAAGAACUCCGAUUGCGAAGGCAGCUCACUGGACUGCAACUGACACUGAGGCUCGAAAGUGUGGGUAUCAAACAGGAUUAGAUACCCCUGUAGUC
rnacentral:rRNA from 1 species